UAUCAUUAGCCUAAAUUUUAAAAACGGGGAAACCAAUUUUUGGGGUGAAUCGCAUAAUAUAUGCGUAGGUUUGUGCCUUUACCGAAUCCGUCAGCUAACCUCGUAGAAUAAAAGGAGGAAGA
rnacentral:sRNA from 21 species